AAAGGAGUUAAAGACGUUAAGUGGUCGGACGGGUGGAGGUAACGGACGUGGGUAACCGUGCCCUCGUACAGGGGAGUAACAAGUUGGAAACGGGACUGCUAAAACCGACAUAACAUGGAGAUACCGCAUGAUAUUUCCAUCAAAUAUUUAUAGGUACAGGAUGGGCCCGCGUCUGAUUAGCCAGUUGGCAGGGUAAUGGCCUACCAAAGCGACGAUCAGUAGCCGGCUUGAGAGAGUGACCGGCCACAUUGGGACUGAGACACAGCCCAAACUCCUACGGGAGGCAGCAGUGGGGGGAUAUUGCACAAUGGGGGAAACCCUGAUGCAGCGACGCCGCGUGAGUGAAGAAGUAUUUCGGUAUGUAAAGCUCUAUCGGCAGGGAAGAAAAAGCGCGCGAGCGCCCUUGACAGUACCUGACUAAGAAGCCCCGGCUAACUACGUG
rnacentral:rRNA from 1 species